AUUGAACGCUGGCGGCGUGCCUUACACGUGAAAGUCGAACGGUAACAGGUUAAGCUGACGAGUGGCGAACGGGUGAGUAAUGUAUCGGAACGUGCCCAGUCGUGGGGGAUAACUGCUCGAAAGAGCAGCUAAUACCGCAUACGACCUGAGGGUGAAAGCGGGGGAUCGCAAGACCUCGCGCGAUUGGAGCGGCCGAUAUCAGAUUAGGUAGUUGGUGAGGUAAAGGCUCACCAAGCCGACGAUCUGUAGCUGGUCUGAGAGGACGACCAGCCACACUGGGACUGAGACACGGCCCAGACUCCUACGGGAGGCAGCAGUGGGGAAUUUUGGACAAUGGGCGCAAGCCUGAUCCAGCCAUGCCGCGUGCGGGAAGAAGGCCUUCGGGUUGUAAACCGCUUUUGUCAGGGAAGAAAAGGUUCUGGCUAAUACCUGGGACUCAUGACGGUACCUGAAGAAUAAGCACCGGCUAACUACGUGCCAGCCGCCGCCGUAAUAC
rnacentral:rRNA from 1 species